rnacentral:rRNA from 1 species
AACGAACGCUGGCGGCAGGCUUAACACAUGCAAGUCGAACGCCCCGCAAGGGGAGUGGCAGACUGGUGGGUAACGCGUGGGAACAUACCCUUUCCUGCGGAAUAGCUCCGGGAAACUGGAAUUAUUACCGCAUACGCCCUACGGGGGGAAGAUUUAUCGGGGAAGGAUUGGCCCGCGUUGGAUUAGCUGGUUGGUGGGGUAAAGUCCUAGCAUGGCGACGAUCCAUAGCUGGGCUGAGAUGAGGAUAAGCCACAUUGGAACUGCGACACGGCCCAAACUCCUACGCAAGGGAGCAGUAGGGAAUAUUAGAGGAUGGGCGCAAGCCUAAUCCAGCCAUGCCGGGUGAGAGAUGAAGGCCUUAGGGUUGUAAAGCUCUUUCACCGAUGAAGAUAAUGACGGUAGUCGGAGAAGAAGCCCCGGCUAACUACGUG